rnacentral:rRNA from 1 species
AACGAACGCUGGCGGCAGGCCUAACACUUGCAAGUCGAACGUGAAGCCACCUUCGGGUGGUGGAAAGUGGCAGACGGGUGAGUAACGCGUGGGAACGUGCCUUUCGGUUCGGGAUAACCCAGGGAAACUUGGGCUAAUACCGGAUACGCCCUUCGGGGGAAAGAUUCAUUGCCGAAAGAUCGGCCCGCGUCGGAUUAGCUAGUUGGUGGGGUAAUGGCCUACCAAGGCGACGAUCCGUAGCUGGUCUGAGAGGAUGAUCAGCCACACUGGGACUGAGACACGGCCCAGACUCCUACGGGAGGCAGCAGUGGGGAAUAUUGCACAAUGGGCGAAAGCCUGAUGCAGCCAUGCCGCGUGGGUGAAGAAGGCCUUAGGGUUGUAAACCCCUUUCAGCGGGGAAGAUAAUGACGGUACCCGGAGAAGAAGCCCCGGCUAACUUCGUGCCAGCAGCCGCAGUAAAAC